CAGUCGCCGCGGUAAUACGGGGGGGGCAAGUGUUAUUCGGAAUGACUGGGCGUAAAGGGCACGUAGGCGGUGAAAAGGGUGGAAAGUGAAAGUCGCCAAAACACUGGCGGGGUGCUUUCUUGACCAUUUCACUUGAGUGAGAUAGGGGAGAGUGGAAUUUCGUGUGGAGGGAUCAAAUCCUAAGAUAUACGAAGGAACGCCAACCGCGAAGGCAGCUCUCUGGGUCCCCACUGACGCUGGGGUGCGAAAGCAUGGGGAGCAAACAGGAUCAGAGACCCCCGUAGUCCCUGUCUCUUAUACA
rnacentral:rRNA from 1 species